rnacentral:rRNA from 1 species
AACGCGAAGAACCUUACCAACCUUUGACAUGUCCAGUAUGGGUUCGGGAGACCGGAUCCUUCAGUUCGGCUGGCUGGAACACAGGUGCUGCAUGGCUGUCGUCAGCUCGUGUCGUGAGAUGUUGGGUUAAGUCCCGCAACGAGCGCAACCCUCAUCUUUAGUUGCCACCAUUCAGUUGGGCACUCUAAAGAAACCGCCGGUGACAAGCCGGAGGAAGGUGGGGAUGACGUCAAGUCCUCAUGGCCCUUACAGGUUGGGCUACACACGUACUACAAUGGUGGUGACAGUGGGUUGCGAAACCGCAAGGUGGAGCUAAUCCCCAAAAGCCAUCUCAGUUCAGAUUGCGCUCUGCAACUCGAGCGCAUGAAGUUGGAAUCGCUAGUAAUCGCAGAUCAGCACGCUGCGGUGAAUACGUUCCCGGGCCUUGUA